GAUGAACGCUGGCGGCGUGCCUAAUACAUGCAAGUCGAGCGAACGGACGAGAAGCUUGCUUCUCUGAUGUUAGCGGCGGACGGGUGAGUAACACGUGGAUAACCUACCUAUAAGACUGGGAUAACUUCGGGAAACCGGAGCUAAUACCGGAUAAUAUUUUGAACCGCAUGGUUCAAAAGUGAAAGACGGUCUUGCUGUCACUUAUAGAUGGAUCCGCGCUGCAUUAGCUAGUUGGUAAGGUAACGGCUUACCAAGGCAACGAUGCAUAGCCGACCUGAGAGGGUGAUCGGCCACACUGGAACUGAGACACGGUCCAGACUCCUACGGGAGGCAGCAGUAGGGAAUCUUCCGCAAUGGGCGAAAGCCUGACGGAGCAACGCCGCGUGAGUGAUGAAGGUCUUCGGAUCGUAAAACUCUGUUAUUAGGGAAGAACAUAUGUGUAAGUAACUGUGCACAUCUUGACGGUACCUAAUCAGAAAGCCACGGCUAACUACGUGCCAGCAGCCGCGGUAAUACGUAGGUGGCAAGCGUUAUCCGGAAUUAUUGGGCGUAAAGCGCGCGUAGGCGGUUUUUUAAGUCUGAUGUGAAAGCCCACGGCUCAACCGUGGAGGGUCAUUGGAAACUGGAAAACUUGAGUGCAGAAGAGGAGAGUGGAAUUCCAUGUGUAGCGGUGAAAUGCUCAGAGAUAUGGAGGAACACCAGUGGCGAAGGCGACUUUCUGGUCUGUAACUGACGCUGAUGUGCGAAAGCGUGGGGAUCAAACAGGAUUAGAUACCCUGGUAGUCCACGCCGUAAACGAUGAGUGCUAAGUGUUAGGGGGUUUCCGCCCCUUAGUGCUGCAGCUAACGCAUUAAGCACUCCGCCUGGGGAGUACGACCGCAAGGUUGAAACUCAAAGGAAUUGACGGGGACCCGCACAAGCGGUGGAGCAUGUGGUUUAAUUCGAAGCAACGCGAAGAACCUUACCAAAUCUUGACAUCCUUUGACAACUCUAGAGAUAGAGCCUUCCCCUUCGGGGGACAAAGUGACAGGUGGUGCAUGGUUGUCGUCAGCUCGUGUCGUGAGAUGUUGGGUUAAGUCCCGCAACGAGCGCAACCCUUAAGCUUGGUUGCCAUCAUUAAGUUGGGCACUCUAAGUUGACUGCCGGUGACAAACCGGAGGAAGGUGGGGAUGACGUCAAAUCAUCAUGCCCCUUAUGAUUUGGGCUACACACGUGCUACAAUGGACAAUACAAAGGGCAGCGAAACCGCGAGGUCAAGCAAAUCCCAUAAAGUUGUUCUCAGUUCGGAUUGUAGUCUGCAACUCGACUACAUGAAGCUGGAAUCGCUAGUAAUCGUAGAUCAGCAUGCUACGGUGAAUACGUUCCCGGGUCU
rnacentral:rRNA from 1 species